GCAGGCCUCUGGCUGCUUUUCCAGCCUUAACUCUGGAAGAGGGUGUAUAUGACGGGGAAGUGUGCUGGGGAGAUGAUAUUUCCCAUAGGAUAGGUUAGGUAACAUUAUGCAGAGAAGCUGGUAGUGGUAAGCCGGAAGGCCAGGACAGCACCAGACCACGCUGUUAAGGACAGGUGCAGCUCGUUCCGCAGGUACAGCUUGUUAGGCAGUAGAUCUCUAGGGCAAUACCAAUGGCUGCCAUUUACGAGUGCUUAGUGUGCAGCGUGCACUGUGCUGAAGGCUCUCAAGCACUUCUCAGUGAAUCUUCACAAUAGCACCCUGAAGCAGAAUAUGCAUUAUUCUCUUUCUGCAGGUUACAUGUGGAGAUAACAAUUAGGCUCUUGCUGGCUGCAAAGGUUGAGCAACAACGAGGAUGAGACAGGAGAUGCUGGCACAGAGCUCUUUACCUACGGACACUAGCCAUUGCUCUCACCUUCCUCCCAAGGCCUGAAAAACACAAAACGACUCUUCUUGGCCUCAGCUUUCUGGAAAUGUGUCUGCAGGAAGCCAGUGCCUAAAAUAUUGUGUCAAAAAUGCUCAUAUGUGUUCAUUCACAUGAAGACAACCACUAAAGUGCUCCUGGGACACAUUAACAUCCAUGAGAGGAAUUCUUCUGCUGAAAAUACACCAUCUAGUGGUGCCACCUGCUCGGCUUCUGAAAAAUCUGUCUCUUGACAAUCUAUUCCAGUUCCAGCCUCUUAACCAACCAGAAGUGUCUAAAUAAGAUGGAAAACUAGGCCAGGCACAGUGGCUCACGCCUGUAAUUCCAGCACUUUGGGAGGCCCAGGUGGGUGGAUCACUUGAGGUCAGGAGUUCGAGACCAGCCUGGCCAACCAUGGCGAGACCCCCAUCUCUACUAAAAAUAUAAAAAGUAGCCGUGCUUUGGUGGCACAUGCCUGUAAUACCGGCUACUCGGGAGGUUGAGGCAGGAGAAUCUCUUGAAUCUGGGAGGUGAAGGUUGCAGUGAGCUGAGAUCACAUCACUGCACUCCAGCCUGGGCAACAGAAUUAGACCCUGUCUCAAAAACAAACAAAAAAGAUGGGGAAAAAAAAAACUCACCAUUACCAUUAUCUGAACCUGGCUUAGGUGAGAAUGUUAGUAACCAUAGUGACCAUAAAACUGCCAAUGCCUCCAUUUAAAAUGUUUAAACCUCUCUGCCCUCACACAUUGUGGUGUGCCCACCUGGGGUGAGUCAUUGAAGGAAGAGGAUUUAUUUAGCCCAUUAUCUCAGCAUGCCAGUUGAGUGGCAUGGCCUCGUGAGCCAGCUAUCUUCCUCUGCAGGCUGGGGCCCUCAGACAGCUCUCUGCACUAAUUUUCAGAGCCAAUCAGAAGGGAUCCGUGUGGCCAUUUGAGCCUGUUCCUAAAGCCCAAAGAGGGCUUUACCAGUGGACAUUUGGUGAUCUCACUGUACUAAAUGCUACCUGUGACCCUGCAUGGAGGGUGUUUCUUUUAUCUUUCAAAUAAUUAGUUUGUACAGAUAAAGCCUAAAGAAAUAUCUGGCUUUUGGCCGUUUUUGUUUUCUUGUAUCUUUUUUUUUUCUUUUUUCUUUUUCUCUUUUGGCUCGGGCCAUCAAAAGCCCACAAAGGUUUGGUCCUUCUGUGCAUCUCCAUGAGGGUUUAUCAACCUGAUCCCAUUCACUAUGGUUCCCACUCACAGAUGGUUUUCACAAUUCUUAUUUGCAUAACAGUACCAGCUCUUUUAGGGUCCAAGGCAUUGGAUGAACCUUUAGUUGCUUCUCUUCCUACAGUGUUCCUUUAAGAUUUUAAAGGUCAAGAUGACUGAUUAUAAUCCAAACAUGUUUCCUUACUUUGCCUUGAGGCUAAUUCUGUUUCUUGAAGCUAGGUGAGUAUGAAGCAGCUGGUUCACAAAUGAACCCUUGAAUUCCAAAGCCUACAGCAGCCCCUAAAAAUGCAGAUCUCAGACCACACUGCUGGCAGCUGCUGUGCUCAAGUUGAAGACUAAAGAUACCAACAGCAGAGAAGAAAGCUCCCAGCCAGUGGCACAUUCCC
rnacentral:lncRNA from 10 species